AGCAGCCGCGGUAAUUCCAGCUCCAAUAGCGUAUAUUAAAGUUGUUAGCAGUUAAAAGCUCGUAGUUGAAUUUCGGGGUUAGUAGGUUGGUCAUGCCUCUGGUAUGUACUGGUCUCACUGAUUCCUCCUUCCUGAUGAGCCGUAAUGCCAUUAAUUUGGUGUUGCGGGGAAUUUGGACUGUUACUUUGAAAAAUUAGAGUGUUUAAAGCAAGCUAACGCUUGAAUACAUUAGCAUGGAAUAAUGAAAUAGGACGUUCGAUCCUAUUUUGUUGGUUUCUGGGAUUGACGUAAUGAUUAAUAGGGAUAGUUGGGGGCAUUAGUAUUCAAUUGUCAGAGGUGAAAUUCUUGGAUUUAUUGAAGACUAACUACUGCGAAAGCAUUUGCCAAGGAUGUUUUCAUUAAUCAAGAACGAAAGUUAGGGAUCGAAGACGAUCAGAUACCGUCGUAGUCUUAACCAUAAACUAUGCCGACUAGGGAUCGGAUGAUGUUAAUUUUUAAUGUACUCAUUCGGCUACCG
rnacentral:misc_RNA from 1 species